rnacentral:misc_RNA from 1 species
CAAAAACUGCGCUCCUAUCAUGCUUCGCUUAGCGUGGCAUGACGCUGGAACUUACGAUGCGAAAACGAAGACUGGAGGGCCUAAUGGUUCCAUCAGGAACGAGAAAGAGUACAAACAUGAAGCUAAUAAUGGUAUUAAAAUCGCUAUUGAUUUUUGCGAGGAAAUCAAGGCCAAACACCCCAAAAUUACGUAUGCUGACCUCUAUCAGCUUGCUGGGGUUGUUGCAGUUGAGUUCACUGGAGGUCCAACAAUCGAUUUUGUUCCAGGCAGAAAGGAUUCAACUGAAUCUCCUGAAGAGGGUCGUCUUCCUGAUGCAAAACAGGGUGCAUCGCAUUUAAAGGUUGUCUUUUCUCGAAUGGGUCUAUCAGACAAGGAAAUUGUGGCACUCUCUGGUGGUCACACAUUGGGAAAGGCACAUAAGGAAAGAUCAGGCUUCGAAGGUGCUUGGACUAAGGAGCCUUUGAAGUUUGACAACUCCUACUUCAAGGAGCUUUUGAAAGGAAAUUCAGAAGGACUAUUAAAACUACCCACUGAUAAGGCUCUCGUGGAAGAUCCUAAGUUCCGCUCCUAUGUUGAGCUAUAUGCAAGGGAUGAGGAUGCAUUCUUCACGGACUAUGCGGCAGCGCACAAGAAACUGUCGGAGCUGGGCUUUACUCCACAUUCCAAAGCUGCAAAGUGUACACUUCUUGUACAGAGUGCUGUGGUAGUUGCUGUAGUUGCAGCUGUGGCAGGGUUAAGUUACUAUUAUGAUGUUAACAGAGUCAAGUGAAGAUCUUGUUUCUUUUAGCAGUAUGGCCAUCGUCGUCUGUUACUCAUAAGAAAUUGUGAUUUGCAAAUGUGUGGAGAAAUCAUUCUAAACACAAUAAAAAAAAAUGCGUGAAACGAGACAUUGAAUUAUUCCCAAUUAAAAAUAUAUGCCUUGCACAAAUAAAUAGAAACAAUAUGCUCGAGUAUGGUGGGAAAACCCACAGCCGUACUCCUACUGGAACUAGGGUCAAGGAGAACAAG